rnacentral:rRNA from 1 species
AAAACCCUCGGGUUUUAGUGGCGGACGGGUGAGUAACGCGUGAGAAUUUGCCUUUAGGAGGGGAACAACAGUUAGAAAUGACUGCUAAUGCCCCAUAUGCUCAUUGAGUGAAAUGGUUUUUCCGCCUAAAGAAAAGCUCGCGUCUGAUUAGCUAGUUGGUGAGGUAAUAGCUCACCAAGGCGACGGUCAGUAACUGGUUUGAGAGGAUGAUCAGUCACACUGGAACUGAGACACGGUCCAGACUCCUACGGGAGGCAGCAGUGGGGAAUUUUCUGCAAUGGGCGAAAGCCUGACAGAGCGAUACCGCGUGAGGGAUGACGGCCUGUGGGUUGUAGACCUCUUUUUUCAAGGAGGAAGUUCUGACGUGUACUUGAAGAAUAAGCAUCGGCUAACUCCGUGCCAGCAGCCGCGGUAAGACGGAGGAUGCAAGUGUUAUCCGGAAUCACUGGGCGUAAAGCGUCUGUAGGUGGUUUAUUAAGUCUAUUGUUAAAUCUUGAGGCUUAACCUCAAAUCAGCGAUGGAUACUGAUAGACUAGAGUGUGAUAGAGGUAAGAGGAAUUUCCAGUGGAGCGGUGAAAUGCGUAGAGAUUGGAAAGAACACCGAUGGCGAAAGCAUCUUACUGGGUCAAAACUGACACUGAGAGACGAAAGCUAGGGUAGCAAAAUGGGAUUAGAUACCCCAGUAGUCCUAGCAGUAAACGAUGGGAUACUAGAUGUUGUACGUAUCA